rnacentral:rRNA from 1 species
CUACGGGGCGCUCCAGUUAGGUAUAAUUUGCAAUGCGCGCAAGCGUGACAAUUUGAAUCAGAGUGUUUUUCAAUUGAAAAACUUUUAUGGAGUGUAAAAAGCUCCACGAAUAAGGACUGGGUAAGACUAGUGCCAGCCGCCGCGGUAAUACUAGCGGUCCAAGUCGCAGCCAUUUUUAUUGGGUCUAAAACAUCCGUAGCUUGUUUUGUAAGUUUCCUGUGAAAUCCGGCUUCUUAAGAGUCGGGCGCGCUGGAAGUACUGCAAAGCUAGAGACUGGGAGACGUAAGAAGUACGUUCAAAGUAACGGUAAAAUGUGUUAAUCUUGAGCGGACUCACAAUAGCGAAGGCAUCUUACGAGAACAGUUCUGACAGCCAGGGAUGAAGGCUAGGGGCGCAAACAGGAUUAGAUACCCGCGUAGUC